AACGCGAAGAACCUUACCUGGGCUUGACAUGUGAGUGACCGGCGUGGAAACACGUCUUCCCUUCGGGGCACUUUCACAGGUGGUGCAUGGCUGUCGUCAGCUCGUGUCGUGAGAUGUUGGGUUAAGUCCCGCAACGAGCGCAACCCCCGUCGCAUGUUGCCAGCAUUUAGUUGGGGACUCAUGCGAGACUGCCGGUGACAAACCGGAGGAAGGUGGGGAUGACGUCAAGUCCUCAUGCCCCUUAUGUCCAGGGCUACACACGUGCUACAUUGGCGCAUACAGAGGGCUGCGAUACCGCGAGGUGGAGCGAAUCCCUUAAAGUGCGUCUCGGUUCGGAUUGCACUCUGCAACUCGAGUGCAUGAAGUCGGAAUCGCUAGUAAUCGCGGAUCAGCACGCCGCGGUGAAUACGUUCCCGGGCCUUGUACACACCGAGACGUA
rnacentral:rRNA from 1 species